CDSAAAGAAGAUACCAAGUGUUCUCUUCGGAGACAAAGUGACAGGUGGUGCAUGGUCGUCGUCAGCUCGUGUCGUGAGAUGUUGGGUUAAGUCCCGCAACGAGCGCAACCCUUAUUGUUAGUUGCCAGCAUUCAGAUGGGCACUCUAGCGAGACUGCCGGUGACAAACCGGAGGAAGGCGGGGACGACGUCAGAUCAUCAUGCCCCUUAUGACCUGGGCUACACACGUGCUACAAUGGCGUAUACAACGAGUUGCCAACCCGCGAGGGUGAGCUAAUCUCUUAAAGUACGUCUCAGUUCGGAUUGUAGUCUGCAACUCGACUACAUGAAGUCGGAAUCGCUAGUAAUCGCGGAUCAGCACGCCGCGGUGAAUACGUUCCCGGGUCUUGUACACACCGAA
rnacentral:rRNA from 1 species